CUCUCCUCCCGCCCCUUUCUGCUGCUAUGGGGGGCGCUCUGGUCACGGAACGCUGCCCGGAGCCGCGCGAGGGAGGACCCGACGCGCGGCGUUUACCCGGCGCAGCGUUCCACCGCCAGGGUUUGGCUGGGACACUGUUAGGCGGGCGUUCCCCCAACCCGCCCCUUGUGAAGUCCACCUGCUGAGACUGAUAUGGAUCCCCUGCGAACUUGAUGCUGUCCGCUUGGAGAACGUGGAGAACUUUCAGAGGAGGGGUUACUUCGCCUUGAGUGAAAAUUAAGACUCAAAGGAAAAGAAUAGCUCUCCAGACCCCCAGCUGGCCAUGUGGUGAGUUCGGGGCCCAAAUCAAGUCGUACCAGCAAUCAGGGAACUCCCUCUAUCUGUUUUGAAUGGAUGCACAGCAGUCACAAGCCUGGAAAGAUGGUGUCACAGUCUACAGUCAGGCAGGAUUCUCCUGAGGACCCCUGGGAAGGGAUCACCCAUUACUCUGGCAUUAUUGAUGGUUCGCCUGGACUCCUGAACACUGACCAUCCUCCUUGCCAAUUAGACAUCAGGCUCAUGAGGCACAAAGCUGCCUGGAUCAACCCCCAGGAUGUGCAGCAACAGCUGCAGGACUUGCAACCUCAGGUGCCAGCAGCCGGGAACAGUGGGACCCAUUUUGUGACAGAUGCUGCCUCUCCCUCAGGCCCUUCACCUUCGUGCCUCAGGGACUCCCUGGCAGAGACAACAUUGUCUGAGGCUACUACAGACUCCACUGGCAGCGCUUCUCCCCAUGGCUCGAGGGAAAAGAGUAGCAGGUUCUCUCUGUCCUCAACAGAAGUACACAUGGUCCGCCCAGGAUACUCUCAUCAAGUGUCUCUGCCCACAAGCCCUAGGAUUUUGGUCACCUCCCCAUAUCCUGAGACUGACAGUGCUUUUUUUGAGCCUUCCCACCUGACAUCUGCUGCUGAAGGUGCUGUUCAAGUCAGUAGAAGAACCAUUUCUUUGAAUUCCUUCUCACCAGAAGUAUUUGUGCUGCCUGUUGAUGUAGAAAAGGAAAAUGCCCACUUUCAUGUUGCAGAUAUGAUUAUAUCAGCAAUGGAGAAAAUGAAGUGUAACAUUCUGAGUCAACAGCAGACAGAGAACUGGAGUAAAGAAGAAGCCAGUGGGUUACUUGGGAGUGAUCAGCCUGACUCUGACGUGACUUUUGAUACCAACAUAAAGCAAGAGUCUGGGUCUUCCACUUCUUCAUAUAGUGGCUAUGAAGGUUGUGCUGUGUUACAGGUCAGCCCAGUGACUGAAACAGGUACUUACCAUGAUGUGAAAGAGAUUUGCCAAUGCGACAUUGAUGAAUUUGUUAUUUUAGAGCUUGGAGAUUUUAAUGAUAUCACAGAAACCUGUAGCUGUUCCUGCAGCUCCUCUAAGAGUGUCACUUAUGAGCCAGAGUUCAAUUCUGCUGAACUAUUAGCCAAAGAGCUGUACCGCGUGUUCCGGAAGUGCUGGAUACUGUCACUAGUUAAUUCUCAGCUGGCAGGUUCCCUGAGUGCAGCUGGCUCAAUAGUUGUAAAUGAAGAGCGUGUCCGAAAAAACUUUGAAUCCAGUAUGAAUGUUGUACAGGAAAUUAAAUUUAAGUCUAGGAUCAGAGGGACUGAAGACUGGGCUCCUCCUAGAUUUCAAAUCAUAUUUAAUAUUCAUCCACCACUCAAGAGGGACCUUGUGGUAGCAGCCCAGAAUUUUUUCUGUGCCGGCUGUGGAACUCCGAUAGAGCCUAAGUUUGUGAAGCGGCUCCGGUACUGCGAAUACCUAGGGAAGUAUUUCUGUGACUGCUGCCACUCAUAUGCAGAGUCCUGCAUCCCUGCCCGAAUCCUGAUGAUGUGGGACUUCAAGAAGUACUAUGUCAGCAAUUUCUCCAAACGGCUGCUGGACAGCAUAUGGCACCAGCCCAUUUUCAAUUUGCUGAGCAUUGGCCAAAGCCUGUAUGCGAAAGCCAAGGAACUGGGCAGAGUGAAGGAAAUUCAGGAACAGCUCUUCCAUAUCAAGAAGCUGUUGAAGACCUGUAGGUUUGCUGACAGUGCAUUAAAGGAGUUUGAGCAGGUGCCGGGACACUUGACUGAUGAGCUCCACCUGUUCUCCCUUGAGGACCUGGCCAGGAUCAAGAAAGGGCUGCUGGCACCCUUACUCAAGGUCAUUCUGAAAGCUUCCCUUGCACACGUGGCCGGCUGCGAGCUGUGUCAAGGAAAGGGCUUUAUUUGUGAAUUUUGCCAGAAUACGACUGUCAUCUUCCCAUUUCAGACAGCAACGUGUAGAAGAUGUUCAGUGUGCAGGGCUUGCUUUCACAAACAGUGCUUCCAGUCCUCCGAGUGCCCCCGGUGUGCGAGGAUCACAGCUAGGAGAAAACUUCGGGAAAGCAUGGCCUCUGCAGCAACAUGAUGCCCCUGAGUAUUGUGAAAAAGACUGUUCAACAUGCCUUAAGAUAACAUCGAUUUGUGUCCAUUAUUGGUGACAUUGUUUUAGAUAAUCUGGUAUUGUAUAGUAAGGAAAAAGAUGGUCUAUAUUCUCUUUAUUGCAUAUACUUAAUGUUUCAAAAGAAUGCAGAUUCUGUGAUUAAGCACAGGGUUGAUAGUAGGGGUUUUGUUUACAAAUGUUCUGUUUUGGCUGCUAUUGGUUUUUUAAAGAGGUUUUUUAUACUUUUGUAUUUGAAUAGUUAUCUUUAACCGAUGUUGAGCCAGUGUGUGUGUGUGUGUGUGUACAUAUGUGAAUUGUAACUGACAAGAUGAAUUACUCAAUUUCUCUCCCUCUAAAGCUUGUUUGAUGAAACUGCUUGUUUCUUUCAGUGAACAAAAAUAUGACCCCAGAUCUGUUUGUUCUGGCUUUUAUUUCUUCAAGAAACAGACUUCCACUUAAAUGCCAUUUUGUGAUUGUGUCAAUCAUACACAUUUUAUUUACUCCAGAGUUUGAAUAGAGAGUACACAUUUCUUCUGCAGGUUUAUUUCAUGAUGAGUUUGAGUUGCUUAGCAGGGCGUGUGGAUCCAGUUGAAGUGCAGUUUGAAGCAGCUGCCUCUAGAUGGCAUUCUUUCAGGUGGCACAAAUCGAACCUGUAUUUGUCGUCUCUGUUCCACACGCUGUAAUGUCAAGGGACGCAGGAGUAGAACUCCAUCCCUGCCCUUGAGGAUCUUGCUUUAUAGAUGUAAAACUGAACAUACGGUAUUUGCAGAUUUAAACAAAUUGGGGGAAAUAAUGAACAGUGUGAUUCUAGUAAUAACAUUAAAAUCAUAGACAUCGACUAAUAAGGUUAAAUAAAUCACAAAACCUUUAUGAAUUUCUUUUUCCUAGUAGUUCUUAUAUGUUUUCCUGAAACAUGUGAGCCUAUUCUUUUUUCUUCUACUUUCUAUAUACUUUCUCCUACUUGAGAAAGGGGCCUUGAGGCUGGGUCCCUUCAUGGUAUAUCUUUAGACUGAACGGUUUUCAGCCUAGGGCUUGGAUGUUAUAUUCCCUGGGAUUCACAUGCCCUAACUAAACCUACCUUGAUUUUCUCAGACAGCACAGGCAGGCAACGAAGCAUCACAGAUUGUCCCCUAACUUCAUCCAGCCGUGUGUAUGUGUGUGUGUUAUUCAAUGGGAUAGUAUUGAGCACAUGAAAGAAAUGAAUGACUUCUGUCAGUCUCUUUUCAUUCAGUCGUCUCAUUCUGUCAAUGUGUUCUCAUCCGUGAUGCCUCUGCCAGAACUGUGCUCACAUUCAUCAUUUAAGCCAGAUCUUUUUUAACUAUUAUGGAAGUGUAGGCACAUAGAAUAAAUAAAAACAGAUUUCAAACAAUGUUUCAUUCUUGCCCAUUGCUCAUGUUCUCUAUUAGGAAUCAAGGGUGAGAGGAGUGGUAUGUUCACAUUCCUUUCUGAGGUAAAUGUCUGUAUCUCCAUUUACAGGCAUGGAAACUGAGGCCUAGAGAAGAGAAAUAACUUGCCUAGGUUCCCACAGGAAGUGCAUGACGGAGCUGGGGUUGGCAUUCAAGUCCACCUGCCUCCAAAGCCCAUGCUCAGCCCCUGCUUCUUUUGUGGUGUCUUUUCGAGACAAAGGAGUAAAAACAACCUUAACUGAAGACAAAUGCCUGGUCAGACCAUUACCCGCUGUGAGGCAUCAGUUGCAGUGCUGUAAAGAGAGGAAGUUACACCAUCUCGAGUCAGAGGCUAUAGGAUGCGGAGGGGCGAGCCAUCCCAAAGACGUCUGGUGUGUUGACCUGGGUGAGAACUAUUGGCCACAACUUCAGAUUAGAUCCCAAAUAUGCUACUUUCUACCUACCUAUGGUGACUCUGGGUGCUCUGGUUUGGUUUGUUUGACUCCUGCAAACCUCAUGCUGAAAUUUGAUCUCCAGUGUUGAAGGUGGGUCUAAUAAGAGGCGAUUGGGUCGUGUGUGGGCGGAUCCUUCAUGAAUAGCUUGGUGGCGUCUUUGUGGUAAUGAGUGAGUUCUCACCCUUAGUUCCCAUGAGAGUUGGUUGUUACAAAGAGCCUGGCACCUCCCUGCCCUCUCUUUGCCUCCUCUCUUUCCUUACGGUCUCUGCACGCGCAGGCUCAUCCUCCCCUCUCCCACGAGUGGAAGCAGCCACAAGUCCUCACCAGAAGCAGAUAUUGGUGCCGUGCUUGUACAGCCCGCAGAACCAUGAGCCAAAUUAACCUCUUUUCUUUAUAAAUCACCCAGCCUCAGGUAUUCCUUUACAGCAACACAAAUAAACUCAGACACUGGAGAAGCCAUUUAAAUUAUCUAAGCCUCUGUAAAAUGAGGGAUAUGACUCUCUGCAGCUGAGAUGAGGAUUAGAAAUGAAAAUGAAGCACCCACUAAAAGGCCUGGUAUAAGGAAGGGCAAAUGGUAAUAAUGAGGUCUAGAUAGAUUACAAACUGAGUCAUACCCUCUAUUUUCUGUAUCUCUGGGUAAGUUACUCCCUGGGUCUCAGUUUAUAAUCUGUAACACAGGGAUUAGAACAAUAGCUACUGCUGUGGGUUGAAUUGUGUCCCGUGAAAGAAUAUGUUAAAGGCCUAACUCCAGGUGUCUGUGCUGUGACCUGUUGGGACGAGGGUCUUUGCAGGUGUGGUUAAGUCAGGAUGAGGACAUAGUGCAUUAGGAUGAGUUUUGAUCUAGUGUCUGGUGUCCUUAUAAGAAAAGGGAAAUUGAGAGAAGAGAGAAGAUGGAGGGAAGAACAAAAGCAGAGGUUGGGGUGAUGCAUCUACAAGCCAAGGAGCACCAAGGAUUGCUGGUGGCCACCAGAAGCCGGAGACAGAUUCUUCCUCAGAGCCUUCAAAAAAAAAAAAAAAAAAAAA